AUGAACGCUAGCUACAGGCUUAACACAUGCAAGUCGAGGGGCAGCAUUUUAGUUUGCUUGCAAACUAAAGAUGGCGACCGGCGCACGGGUGAGUAACACGUAUCCAACCUGCCGAUAACUCGGGGAUAGCCUUUCGAAAGAAAGAUUAAUAUCCGAUAGUAUAUUAAAACCGCAUGGUUUUACUAUUAAAGAAUUUCGGUUAUCGAUGGGGAUGCGUUCCAUUAGUUUGUUGGCGGGGUAACGGCCCACCAAGACUACGAUGGAUAGGGGUUCUGAGAGGAAGGUCCCCCACAUUGGAACUGAGACACGGUCCAAACUCCUACGGGAGGCAGCAGUGAGGAAUAUUGGUCAAUGGACGAGAGUCUGAACCAGCCAAGUAGCGUGAAGGAUGACUGCCCUAUGGGUUGUAAACUUCUUUUAUAUGGGAAUAAAGUAUUCCACGUGUGGAAUUUUGUAUGUACCAUAUGAAUAAGGAUCGGCUAACUCCGUGCCAGCAGCCGCGGUAAUACGGAGGAUCCGAGCGUUAUCCGGAUUUAUUGGGUUUAAAGGGAGCGUAGGUGGAUUGUUAAGUCAGUUGUGAAAGUUUGCGGCUCAACCGUAAAAUUGCAGUUGAAACUGGCAGUCUUGAGUACAGUAGAGGUGGGCGGAAUUCGUGGUGUAGCGGUGAAAUGCUUAGAUAUCACGAAGAACUCCGAUUGCGAAGGCAGCUCACUAGACUGCAACUGACACUGAUGCUCGAAAGUGUGGGUAUCAAACAGGAUUAGAUACCCUGGUAGUCCACACAGUAAACGAUGAAUACUCGCUGUUUGCGAUAUACAGUAAGCGGCCAAGCGAAAGCAUUAAGUAUUCCACCUGGGGAGUACGCCGGCAACGGUGAAACUCAAAGGAAUUGACGGGGGCCCGCACAAGCAGUGGAGUAUGUGGUUUAAUUCGAAGCAACGCGAAGAACCUUACCAGGUCUUGACAUCGAGUGACGAAUCUAGAGAUAGAUUUUUCCUUCGGGACACAAAGACAGGUGGUGCAUGGUUGUCGUCAGCUCGUGUCGUGAGAUGUUGGGUUAAGUCCCGCAACGAGCGCAACCCCUAUCUUCAGUAGCCAGCGGUAAGGCCGGGCACUCUGGAGAGACUGCCAGGGAUAACCUGGAGGAAGGUGGGGAUGACGUCAAAUCAUCAUGCCCUUUAUGUCCUGGGCUACACACGUACUACAAUGGCGUUUAACAAAGAGAAGCAAGACCGCGAGGUGGAGCAAAACUCAAAAACAACGUCUCAGUUCAGAUUGCAGGCUGCAACUCGCCUGCAUGAAGUCGGAAUUGCUAGUAAUCGCGGAUCAGCAUGCCGCGGUGAAUACGUUCCCGGGCCUUGUACACACCGCCCGUCACACCACGAAAGUUGGUAACACCCGAAGCCGGUGAGAUAACCUUUUAGGAGUCAGCUGUCUAAGGUGGGGCCGAUGAUUGGGGUG
rnacentral:rRNA from 1 species